UACGUAGGGGGCGAGCGUUGUCCGGAUUCAUUGGGCGUAAAGCGCUUAAGGCGGUUCGCUAAGUCGGGUGUGAAACCUCCAGGCUCAACCUGGAGACGCCACUCGAUACUGGCGUGACUAGAGUUCGGUAGGGGACCACGGAAUUCCUGGUGUAGCGGUGAAAUGCGCAGAUAUCAGGAGGAACACCAGUGGCGAAGGCGGUGGUCUGGGCCGAUACUGACGCUGUAGAGCGAAAGCGUGGGGAGCGAACAGG
rnacentral:rRNA from 1 species